AAUCUAGUGGACGGUUCUUCAUAAACAGCUCGUCAACCACCUCGGUAGCUUGCUAGCCAACAUAGCCGAAAGAUUCAAGCUAUUUAUACGCUUUCGGUGUAUAUUACCUACUGUGUUUUAGACACACUUCUGUCCUAUCUACUUGUUAACCUAUUUAAUUUAAUAUUACGUUAAUUUUUAUUAGUCAGCUAUAGUAGCUGGCUGGUUAAAUUAGCACUAGCCUAGUCGCUAAUGAUAGCUAGCUAGCUAACAUCCCCGAACAUGAGCUCCAUAAACUUCUCCCCUCCUGUUAAAGAAGAGGAUAAGGUCUGCUGGACGGAGAAAGGAGGUCUGUGGCUGAACAUUGUCGUGAAAGAGGAGGAGGAAGAAGAGGAUGUCACAGUAAAACAAGAAGUAGAGGGUGAGGCUGUUACAGUGAAAGAGGAAGACGUUUCAUUGAAAGAAGAGGAGGACGCGUUCAGAGUUAAAGAGGAGGAAGAUGAGAAAGAGGAGGAUGUAGUUUUUGGUGUGAAAGAGGAGGGGGAGAUAACUGUCACAUUGGAGGAAGAAGAGGAGGUUGGAGAUCUGUUUAACCCCAGUUUUCUGUCCUCAGAUAAAGAGCUCUCUGAAAGCCAGUCUACAUAUGAAGAGGUCCCAAUGAAGAGCAGUGGUUCUCAGUCCUGGGGACUCAGAGGCACAUUGUUGUUUUUGUCUCAGCACUGCACAGCUGAUUCAAAUGAUCAACUCAUCAUCAAGCUUCAAGUGAUACCUUGUAACUGGAGAUUCCUUCAAAACGAUUGCCUACAGUUACCGUGUAGGGCACUGCAAGGUUGGGUGACCAGGGUCAUCUGGGACUGCCUUCUGGAGGAAUUCAGGUGUGUGAAGGCUACCUGUGUCCUGCGUAACUUCAUGAGGAUGGACACGAGGACCAGGAGGGGAUCUGCAGCUCGCCGCCGUGUCCCAGAGGAGGAGUCUGCUGCUCUGCAGGAUGUUUCAAGGAUGGAAUCCAACAACGCAGCAAGAGAGGCAAUCCGUGUGCAGGAGAUCUUCACCUCCUACUUCUUCAAAGAAGCAUAAAGUACUCUGCAGCCACUAAGUGUGGUGUGGACACCAGGUGAGGCCACACACAGAUUCCUGUUGAACACUGUGGCUUUAACUACCUUAUUUUCUCAAUAACAGUCUCUCUCCUUCACUUCAUCCCUCUCUCCCCUUCUCCCUAAGUCCUCUAGGUUAUAUCAGCUGUGUCGGUGAACCCCUCCUGCAUCUAAACUGGCUACAUAGAGGGCACAGCAUGAUCAGAGAUAUGUUUUGAUGUGAGAGGAUGCCAACCCCCAGUCCCAUCAUCACCACCUCACCUGCUUUUAAGAUAACCUUUGUGCCGAUGUGAGACACUAUUAUGUAAUUGUGAUGAGCUGAGAGAAUAUUUAUGUAGCACUGUGAUUCAUUAAUCAUGUGCUGCCUUCCCUGCUCCUAUGUGCUUACCUCUUUCCCUUUCUGUCUUUUACACCUCUCUCUCCACCUCCUCUUUCUUCCUCUGUUUUUAUAAUGCACAACAGAUGUGCAUUGAAGUACAGAUUGAACUUGUAUUUAUAACACUUGGAUAAUGAGCUUUUCAAUAAAGCGUUUCACAUUC